CAACUGGCCCUUUUCAGGGCCACAAAUUUAUAUUUAAUGAGGAAU
rfam:Apis mellifera strain DH4 linkage group 1, whole genome shotgun sequence.